rnacentral:lncRNA from 1 species
CAUCACCGCCUUUGGGCAUCACACACGGUCAAACGUCAUCGGGCAUGACAUGCCAUCAUCGCCUUUAGACAGCACACACGGUCGAAUGAAGUCAGGCGUGGCAUGCUAACAUAGCCCUUGAACGGCAAACAAGGUUGAAUGACGUCAGGCGUGGCAUGCCAUCAUCGCCUUUGGAGUAGUUGACACAGUCGGACGGCAUCAGGAGUGGCAUGCCAUCAUCGCUCUUGGACUGGAAACACGGUCGAACGACGUAGAGCGUGGCAUGCCAUCAACGCCUAAGGCCAACACACAAAGAAGGACGACGUCGGGCGUGGCAUGCUAUCAUCUCCUUUGGGCAGCACAGACGGUCAGACGACGUCGGGCGUGGCAUGCCAUCACCUCCCUUGGACAGCACACAUGGUUGGAUGACGUCGGGCGUGGCAUGCCAUCAUCUCCUUUGGGAAGCACAAUCGGUCGAACGACGCCGACGUGGCAUGCCAACUUCACCUUUGGGCAGUACACAAGGUCGACCGACGUCGGGCGUGGCAUGCCAGCAUUGCCUUUGGGCAGCACACACAGCCGAAAGACGUCGAGCGUGGCAUGACAUCACCUCCUUUGUACAGCGCACACGGUCGAACAACAUCGAGCGCGACAUGCCAUCACCGCCUUUGGAAAGCACACACGGUCGAACGACAUCGGGCGUGGCAUGCGAUCAUCACCUUUGGGCAGCACAAACAGUCUGACGGCGUCGGGCGUGGCAUGCCAUCAUAGCCCUUAAAAGGCAAACAAGGUUGAACGACGUCGGGCGUGGCAUAUAUUAUCGCCUUUGGACUAGCUGACAUAGUUGGACGGUGUAACGCGUGGCAUGCCAUCAUCGCCCUUGGACGGGAAACACGGUCGAACGAUGUAGAGCGUGGCAUGCCAUCACCGCCUUGGGAUAUCACACACGGUCAGACGAUGUCGGGCGUGGCAUGCUAUCAUCGCCUUUGGGCAGCAAAAACAGUCGGACGACAUCAUGUGUGGCAUGCCAUCACCGCCCUUGGAUAGCACACAAGGUCGGAUGACUUCUAGCGUGGCAUGCCAUCGCCGCCCUUGGACUGCACCCACGGUAGGACGACGUGGGGCAUGGCAUGAGAUCACCGCUCUAGGACUGCACGCAUGGUCAGGCAUGGCAUGACAUCACCGCCAUAGGACAGCACACGAUCGGACGACGUCGGGAAUGGCAUGACAUCAGCGCCCUUGGGCAGCACACACGGUUGGACUACGUCAGGCGUGGCCUGACAUGACCGCCUUUGUACAGCACACACGGUCGAACGACGUCGGGCGUGGCAUGCCAUAAUAUUCUUUGGGCACACAGACGAUCGAACAACGUCGGGAGGGGCAUGCCACAAUAGCCCAUGGACGAAAAACACAAUUGAACGACAUCAGGCGUGACAUGCCAUCACCGCCUUUGGACAGCACACACGGUCGAACGACGUCGGGCGUGGCAUGCCAUCUUGCCUUUGGGAAGCACACAGUCGAAAUAUGUCGGGCGUGGUAUGACAUCACCGCCUUUGGGCAUCACAUACGGUCAAAUGUCGUCGGGCAUGACAUGCAAUCACCGCCUUUAGACAGCACACACGGUCGAAUGAAUUUAGGCGUGGCAUGCCAUCAUAGCCCUUGAACAGCAAACAAGGUUGAAUUACGUGAGGCGUGGCAUGCCAUCAUCGCCUUUGGACUAGCUGACAUAGUCGGACGUCGUCGGGCGUGGCAUGCCAUCAUCGCCCUUGGACGGGAAACACAACCGAAUGACGUAAAUCAUGGCAUGCCAUCAACGCCUAAGGACAGCACAAAAGGAAGGACGACGUCGGGCGUGGCAUGCUAUCAUCUCCUUUGGGCGGCACAGACGGUCAGACGACGUUGGGCGUGGCAUGCCAUCACCGCCCUUGGACAGCACACAUGGUCAGAUGACGUCGAGCGUGGCAUGCCAUAACCACCCUUGUACAGCACACACGGUAGGAUGACGUCGGGCGUGGUAUGAGAUCACAGCUCUUGGACGGCACGCAUGGUCAGACUACGGUGGGCGUGGCAUGACAUCACCACCUUUGGACAGCACACACGGUCGAACAUCGUCGGGCGUGGCAUGCUAUCAUCGCCUUUGGGCAGCACACAUGGUCGAACGACGUUGGGCAUGGCAUGACAUCACCGCCUUUGGACAGCACACACAGUCGAACAACGUCAGGCGUGACAUGCCAACACCACCUUUGGACAGCCCACACGGUCGAACCACGUCGAGCGUGGCAUUCCAUUAUCGCCUUUGGGCAGCACACACGGUCGAAAUACGUCUGGCGUGGCAUGCCAUUAUUGCCUUUGGGCAGCACAAACGGUCGAACGACGUCGGGCGUGGCAUGACAUCACCGCCCUAGGACUACACGCACGAUCGGACAACGUCGGGCGUGGCAUGAUAACACCGCCCUAAGACAACACACACGCUCGAACGACGUCGAGCCUGGCAUGACAUCAUCGCCUUUGGACGGCACGCACGGUCAAACGACGUCAGGAGUGGCAUGACAUCACCACCCUUGGACGUCACACACGGUCGAACGUCGUUGGGCAUGGCAUGCAAUCAUCGCCUUUGGGCAGCACACACGAUCGAAUGACGUCGGGCAUGGCAUGACAUCACCGCCUUUGGGCAGCACACACGGUAAAACGAUCUCGGGCGUGACAUGCCAUCACCGCCUUUGGACAGCACACAAGGUCAAAUGACGUCGGGCUUGGCAUGCCAUCAUCACCUUUGGGCAGCACAAACGGUCGAACAACGUCGGGCGUGGCAUGCCAUCAUCGCCUUUGGGAAGCACAAACGGUCGAACCACGUCGGGCGUGGCAUGCCAACAUCACCUUUGGGCAGCACACACGGUUUAACGAGUUCGGGCUUGGCAUGCCAGCAUCGCCUUUGGGCAACACACACGGUCGAACAACAUCGGGCGUGGCAUGCAAUCAUUGCCUUUGGGCAACACACAUGGUCGAACGACGUCGGGCGUGGCAUGACAUCACCGCCUGUUGACAGCAUACGCGGUCGAACGAUGUCGGGCGUGGCAUGCCAUCAUCUCCUUUGGGCAGCACAGACGGUCGAACAACUUUGGGCGUGGCAUGCCAUCAUAGCCCUUUAAUGGAAAACACGGUCGAACGACGUCGGGCGUGGCAUGCCAUCACCGCCUUUGGACAGCGCACACGGUCGAACGAUGUCGUGGGCGGUUCCCUUGUGUGAACCUUGGUCUUCCUCCAACAAUCUUUGCAGUGAUUAAAUUCUCAACUCCCUUGGGUAGGAGUGCGACGGCGGGUGUAGCAUUGGCCUAGCAAAGAAGGCAUCGGCGUCUUUGCACGACAUCUCAUGUCGGGCGUCGGGGUGGAUGUCGAGCGUUCAUUGACGGAGCUAUUCAGCUAUGGCGCAUGAGUGGUAUUAGGCAUUUGUUGGUAGGUUGGAUCCCUAUUUCGAGAAGCAACGUCUUAACUCGUAUGCCAAUUCGGUGGCGGAUGAAGCGUAAUCUAGGCUGGUCAGACGUCGGAAUCCUGUGCUGGAUAAUUAAUGCCUAGGCAUUGUGCACAUGCAAAUGGUCGCCUUUCUCCCUUCGAGUCCCAUGUGCGGGGUGAACCCAAAAGACGCUUUCGCGUCCCACACCUUCCCUUGCUUCGUCGUACAAUGGCGUAAUCCAUGAGCGGCGCCUCGAUUUCUCAGAUACGGUAGAUAUAGUGGGCAUGGGGCCUUCAUCGGCUUCUAUCUGCCCAAAACAAAUGCUCCUUACGAAUGACUAUCGCGCUCUCCUUAGACCCGACCGUGACCGAAAGGGAACGCCAGUCUCAUGCGGCGCGGCAUUUUUGAGGAAUGCUACCUGGCUGAUCCUGCCAGUAGUCAUAUGCUUGUAUCAAAGAUUAAGCCAUGCAUGUGUAAGUAUGAACAAAUUCAGACUGUGAAACUGCGAAUGGCUCAUUAAAUCAGUUAUACUUUGUUUGAUGGUAUCUACUACUCGGAUAACCGUACUAAUUCUAGAGCUAAUACGUGUAACAAACCCCGACUUCUAGAAGGGAUGCAUUUAUUAGAUAAAAGGUCGACGCGGGCUCUGCCAGUUGCUGUGAUGAUUCAUGAUAACUCGACGGAUCGCACGGCCAUCGUGCCGGCGACGCAUCAUUCAAAUUUCUGCCCUAUGAACUUUUGAUGGUAGGACAGUGGCCUACCAUGGUGGUGACGGGUGACGAGGAAUUAGGGUUUGAUUCCGGAGAGGGAUCCUGCAAAACGGCUACCACAUCCAAAGAAAGCAGCAGGCGUGCAAAUUACCCAAUUCUAACACGGGGAGGUAGUGACAAUAGAUAACAAUACUAGGCUCCAUGAGUCUGGUAAUUGGAAUGAGUACAAUCUAAAUCCCUUAACGAGGAUCCAUUGGAGUGAAAGUCUGGUGCCAGCAGUCGCGGUAAUUCCAGCUCCAAUAGCGUAUAUUUAAGUUGUUGCAAUUAAAAAGCUCGUAGUUGGACUUUGGGAUGGGCCGGCCGGUCCCCCCUAGAUGUGCACCGGUCGUCUCGUCCCUUCUGUCGGGCGAUGCGCUCAUGGCGUUUAAUGGCCGGGUCGUGCCUCCGACGUUGUUACUUUGAAGAAUUAGAGUGCUCAAAGAAAGCCUACGCUCUGUAUACAUUAGCAUGGGAUAACAUUAUAGGAUUUCGGUCAUAUUACGUUGUCCUUUAGGAUCGAAGUAAUGAUUAACAGGGACAGUCGGGGGCAUUCGUAUUUCAUAGUCAGAGGUGAAAUUCUUGGAUUUAUGAAAGAUGAUCAACUGCGAAAGCAUUUGCCAAGAAUAUUUUCAUUAACCAAGAACGAAAUUUGGGGGCUCGAAGAUGAUUAGAUAUCGUCCUAGUCUCAACCAUAAACGAUGCUGACCAGGGAUCAAUGGAUGUUUCUUUUAGGACUCUGCCGCCACCUUAUGAGAAAUCAAAGUGUUUGGGUUCUGGGGGGGAGUAUGGUUGCAAGGCUGAAACUUAAAGGAAUUGACGGAAGGGCACCACCAGGAGUGGAGCCUGCGGCCUUAUUUGACUCAACACGGGGAAACAUACAAGGUCCAAACAUAGUAAGGAUUGACAGACUGAGAGAUCUUUCUUGAUUUUACUGGUGGUGGUGCAUGGCCGUUCUUAGUUAGUGAAGCGAUUUGUAUAGUUAAUUCCGUUAACGAAUGAGACCUCAUCCUGCUAACUAGCUAUGCGGAGGUAUCCCUUCGCGGCCAGCUUCUUAGAGGGACUACGACCUUUUAGGCCGCGGAUGUUUGAGGCAAUAACAGGUCUGUGAUGCCCUUAGAUGUUAUGGGCUGCACACGCGCUACACUUAUUAUUCAAGAGCUUAUAGCCUUGGCCAACAGGCCCGGGUAAUCUUUGAAAUUUCAUCGUGAUAGGGAUAUAUCAUUGCAUUUAUUGGUUUUCAACGAGGAAUUCCUAGUAAGCGUGAGUCAUCAGCUCGCGUUGACUACGUCCCUGCCCUUUGUACACACUGCCCGUCGCUCCUACCGAUUGAAUGAUUUAGUGAAAUGUUCGGAUCGCGGUGACAUCGGCGGUUCGCUGCACGCGAAGUCGUGAGAAGUCCAUUGAACCUUAUCAUUUAGAGGAAGGAGAAGUUGUAACAAGGUUUCCAUAGGUGAAACUGCGGAAGGAUCAUUGUCGAAGCCUGUACAGCAGAACGACCUGCGAACUCGUUUUAAACACCUGGGGGCGGCGCUCGCUCAUUGUGCGCCUCCCUUCUGUCACCCGACGGGUGCAAGCUCUUCGGGCGACCACCGAACCCUGGCGCGGAAAGCGCAAAGGAAUACUACAAUCGACAGCCCUCUCCUCGCGCCCUGUUCACGGAUCAUGGGGGGAUGCGCGCUUCUCUGAUAACACAAACGAUUCUCGACAACGAAUAUCUCGGCUCUCGCAUCAAUGAAGAAGGUAGCGAAAUGCGAUGCUUCGUGUGAAUUGCAGAAUCCCGUGAACCAUCGAGUCUUUGAACGCAAGUUGCGCCCGAAGCCAUUUGGCCGAGGGCAUGUCUGCCUAGGCAUCACGCAUCGCGUUGUCCUCUGGUGCACGUCGCAAGGCUGAACGCGGGGGCGAAAGCUGGCCUUUCAUGCGCCUGGCCUAAAUGUGAGUCCACGUCGACGGACGUCGCGGCAAGGGGUUAUUUUAUAAUUUAUUUUCACACUUUUUAAUUUUUUUACGUCUCCUUUUAAAAAUUAAAAUUUAUUAAAUUUUUUAUUUUAAGGUUCCCAUAUUUAUUUGUAAAUUUUCCAAGUUGAUUUCAUAUUUUUUCUGAUAUUUUCCCUAUUUUUUAUUAAUUUAUUACUAAUUUUUCAGAAUUUUAAAAAAAAAAAAUUUAAAAAAAUGUUGAAAAAUGUUUUUUUAUAUAUAUUGAAGUUAUUUAUGAAAGCUAAUGUGUGUUUGUACCUUUGAACGUGCAUAUUUGGGUUGUACAUUUCCAUUAUGAUUCUCUGGAAAAUCCAUGUCUACUCCUGUCACAUGGGUAAAACUUUUUUAAGCAUAUAUAAGGGGGGUAGAGGUGUUGGAGGCAGACUGAGGCGCAGGCAGGCACACGACAUAGGCUUCCUUUGGGCUUAGUAGGCAUGCUGCGUGGGCGCUUGAUGGCAUGCAUGGCUUGUUCGUGCUAACAGUGUUGGGCAUUUACAAAAACACGUCGGCGAUGUCGACGGGUCGAGUGAGGCAAAGGCAGGCGGACGUCAAGGGCGUCAUGUGGUCUUAGUAAGCGUGCUGCGUGGGCGCUUGAUGCAAUGCAUGGCUCGUCCAUGCUAUGCCGUUGGGCGUCUACAAAAAUGUGCUAGCGACGUUUGUGGGGCGGCUGAGGCGAAGAAUGGCGAACGUCAAGGGUGUCCUGUGGGCUUAGUAGGCGCGCUGCGUGGGCGCUAGAUGGAAUGCAUGCUCGUCCAUGCUACGCCGUUCAGCGUUUACAAAACCAAGACCGCGACGUCUGCGGGGCAUUUGAGGCGGUGGCAGGCGGAUGUCAUGGGCGUCUUGUGGGCUUAGUAGGUGUGCUGCGCGGGCGCUUGACGGCAUGCAUGGUUUGUCCGUGCUACACCAUUGUGCAUCAACCAAAACAUGCCAGCGACGUCUGCGGGGCAACUGAGGCGAAAGCAGGCAGACAUCAAAGGCGUCAUGUGGGCUUAGUAGGCGUGUUGCGUGGGUGCUUGAUUGCAUGCAUGGCUCGUCCGUGCUACGCCGCUGGGCGCUUGCAAACACAUGCCGACGACGUCUACGGGGCGACUGAGGCGUUACAAGGCGGACGUCACGGGCGUCCUAUGGGCUUAGUAGGCGUGUUUCGUGGGCGCUUGACGACAUGCAUGGCUCGUCCGUGCUAUGCCUUUGGGUGCUUACAAAGUGGACGUCAGGGUGUCCUGUGGGCUUAGUAGGCGUGUUGCGUGGGCGCUUGACGACAUGCAUGGUUCGUCCAUGCUACGCCGCUGGGCACUUGCAAACACAUGCCGACGAUGUCUGCGGGGCGACUGAGGCGUUACAAGGCGGACGUCACGGGCGUCCUGUGGGCUUAGUAGGCGUGUUGCGUGGGCGCUUGAAGACAUGCAUGGCUCGUCCGUGCUAUGCCUUUGGGCGCUUACAAAAACAUGCCAGCGACGUUUGCGGGGUGACCAUGCGCCGCCGAGGGAACUUCUUAAGAUUGGUUUAUAAUGGCGUUUGGUGUGGAAACGGAAGUGCUUUUGGUGAGUGGCGAGUUCUUGAGCUCAUGUUACGGCUAACUCUACGCGCCACAUGCACAGCGCACGUAAGGCCAUGUAUGGAUAGGGGCCUAUCCGGAGAUGUCGGUGGGAGCCUCGGGAAGAGUUAUCUUUUCUAUUUAACAGCCUACCCACCCUGCAAUCGGCUCAGCCUGAGGUAGGGUCCAGCGGCUCGAAGAGCACCGCACAUCGCGUGGUGUCCAAUACUCUCACGGCGGCCCUUGAAAAUCCGGAGGACCGAAUGUCGUCCAUGCCCGGUCGUACUCAUAACCGCAUCAGGUCUCCAAGGUGAACAACCUCUGGUCGAUGGAACAAUGUAGGCAAGGGAAGUUGGCAAAAUGGAUCCGUAACUUUGGGAAAAGGAUUGGCUCUGAGGGCUGUGCAUGGGGGUCCAAGUCCUGAACCCGUCGGCUCUCGGUGGACUGCUCGAGCUGCUCCCACGGCGAGAGCGUGUCGCCGCAUGCCGAACGGGGGAAGGACAUGGAGCGGUUCCUUCAGGGGCCUUCCUCGGGCGUCGAACAACCAACUCAGAACUGGUACGGACAAGGGGAAUCCGACUGUUUAAUUUAAACAAAGCAUUGCGAUGGUCCCAACGGAUGUUUACGCAAUGUGAUUUCUGCACAGUGCUCUGAAUGUCAAAGUGAAGAAAUUCAACCAAGUGCGGGUAAACGGCGGGAGUAACUAUUACUCUCUUAAGGUAUCCAAAUGCCUCGUAAUCUAAUUAGUGACGCGCAUGAAUGGAUUAACGAGAUUCCCACUGUCCCUGUCUACUAUCAAGCGAAACCACAGCCAAGGGAACGGGCUUGGCAGAAUCAGCGGGGAAAGAAGACCCUGUUGAGCUUGACUCUAGUCCGACUUUAUCAAAUGACUUGAGAGGUGUAAUAUAAGUAGGAGUCGAAAGGCGAAAGUGAAAUACCACUACUUUUAACGUUAUUUUACUUAUUCCGUGAAUUGGAAGUGGGGCACUGCCUUCUUUUUGGACCAAAGGCUCGCUUGGCGGGACGAUCCGGGAGGAAGACAUUGUCAGGUGGGGAGUUUAUCUUGGGCGCCACAUCUUUUAAAAGAUAACACAGGUGUCCUAAGAUGAGCUCAACGAGAACAAAAAUCUUUUGUGGUAAAGAAGGGUAAAAGCUCGUUUGAUUCUGAUUUCCAUUACGAAUACGAACCGUGAAAGCAUGGCCUAACGAUCCUUUAGACCUUCGGAAUUCAAAGCUAGAAGUGUCAGAAAAGUUACCACUGGGAUAACUGUCUUGUGGCAGCAAAGCAUUCAUAUCGACAUUGCUUUUUGAUCCUUCGAUGUCGGAUCUUCCUAUCAUUGUGAAGCAGAAUUCACCAAGUGUUGGAUUGUUCACUCACCAAUAGGGAACAUGAGCUGGGUUUAGACCGUCGUGAGACAUGUGAGUUUUACCCUACUAAUGAUAGUGUCGCAAUAGUAAUUCAACCUAGUACGAGAGGAACCGUUGAUUCACACAAUUGGCCAUCGCGCUUGGUUGAAAAGCCAAUGGUGCGAAGCUACCGUGUGCGAGAUUAUGACUGAACGCCUCUAAGUCAGAAUCCGGGCUAGAAGCGACGCAUGCACCCGCCGUCCGCUUGCCGAACCGCAAUAGGGGCCUAUGUCCCCCAAGGGCACGAAUCGUUGGCUAAGUCGCUGCGAUGGAAGCGUCGCGGUGACAGACGGUCGAACAACGUCGGGCGUGGCAUGCCAUCACCGCCCUUGGACAGCACACACGGUCGGCUGACGUCGGGCGUGGCAUGCCAUCACCGUCCUUGGACAGCACACACUGUAGUACGAUGUCGGGCAUGGCAUGACCUCACUGCCCUUGGGUAGCACACACGGUUGGACUACGUCGGGCGUGGCAUGACAUCACCGCCUUUGGAUAGCACAGACGAUCGAACGACGUCCAGCGUGGCAUGCCAUCAUCGCCUUUGGGUUGCACACACGAUCGAAUGACGUCGGGCGUGGCAUGCCAUCAUAUCCCUUAGACGGCUAACACGGUCGAACGACGUCAGGCAUGAAAUGCCAUUACCGCCUUUGGACAGCACACACGGUCGAAUGUCGUCGGGCGUGGCAUGCCAUCAUCGCCUUUGGGCAGCACAACACAGUCGAACGAUGUUAAGCGUGGCAUGACAUCACCGCCUUUGGACAGCGCACACGGUGGAACGACGUCGGGCGUGACAUGCCAUCACCGCCUUUGGACAGCACACACGGUGGAACAACGUAGGGCGUGGCAUGCCAUCAUCGCCUUUGAGCAGCACAAACGGUCGAACGACGUCGGGCGUGGCAUGAAAUCACCGCCCUAGGAAAGCAUGCACGAUUGGACGAUAUCGGGCGUGGCAUGACAUCAACCCCCUUGGACAGCACACACGGUCGAACGACGUUAGGCGUGGCAUGACAUCACAGCCCUUAGAGGACACGCACACUUGAACGACGUCAGGUGUGGCAUGUCAUCACCACCCUUUGACAGCACACACAAUCAGCAACGUCGGGCAUGGAAUGACAUCACCGCCCUUGGACAGCACACACGGUCGGACGACAUCGGGCAUGGCAUGACAUCUCCGCCCUUGGGCAGCACACACGGUCAAACUACGUCGGGCGUGGCAUGACAUCACCGCGUUAGGGCAGCACACAUGGUUGAACGACGUCGGGCGUGGCAUUACAUCAUAGCCCAUGGACGGCAAACAUGGUCGAACGACGUCGGGCGUGGAAUGCCAUCAUCGCCUUUGGGCAGCACACACGGUUGAACGACGUCGGGCGUGGCAUGUCGUCAUGGCCCUUGGACACCACACACGGUCGAACGAAGUCGGGCAUGGUAUGCCAUCAUAGCCCUUGAACGGAAAACAAGGUUGAACGACGUCGGGCGUGGCAUGCCAUCAUCGCCUUUGGACUAGCUGACACAUUCGGACGACGUCAGGCGUGGCAUGCCAACAUUGCCCUUGGACAGGAAACACGGUCGAACGACGUAGAGCGUGGCUUGCAUCAACGCCUACGGACAGCACACACGGAAGGACGACGUUGGGCGUGUCAUGCUAUCAUCGCCUUUGGGCAGCACAGACGGUCGGACAACGUCGGGCGUAACAUGCCAUCACCGCCCUUGGACAACACACAUGGUCGGAUGACGUUAGACGUGGCAUGCCAUCACCGCCCUUGGACAGCACACACGGUAGGACUACGUCGGGCGUGGCAUGAUAUCACCACCUUUAAACAGCACACAUGGUCGAACGACGUUGGGUGUGGCAUGCCAUCAUCGCCUUUGGGCCGCACAUACGGUUGAAAGACGUCGGGUGUGGCAUGACAUCACCGCCUUUGGAUAGAACACACGGUCAAACAACGUCAGGCGUGAAAUGCCAUCACCGCCUUUGGACAACACACACAGUCGAACGAUGUCAUGUGUGGCAUGCCAUCAUCACCUUUGGCAACACACACAGUCUAACAACGUCGGGCGUGGCAUGCCAUCAUCGCCUUUGGGCAGCACAAAUGGUCGACGACGUCAGGCGUGGCAUGCCAUCAUGCCUUUGGGCAGUACACAUGGUCGAACGACAUCGGGCGUGGCAUGCCAUCAUAGCCCAUGGACUGCAAAAACGGUCGAACGAUGUCAGGUGUGACAUACCAUCACCACCUUUGGACAACACAUACGGUCGAUUGACCUUGGGUAGGGCAUGCCAUCAUCGCCUUUGGGCAGCACACACGGUCGAAAGACGUCGAGCGUGGCAUGACAUCUCACGCCUUUGGACAGCACACUGUCACGACCCGCCAGAUACCCAGGCAGAUCGCGACCCGUCUAGGCAGCCAGCAACCUCUGCAAGGGGGACAGACCGCCUAAAACGGCCAGCAGGCAAAUGGGCAGGCGUCCAAGCAGGCAGCAGAAACAGGGUCAGGCGUUUCAGCCGUUACAGGCAGUUUCAACAGUUACAGCCGUUUCAUCAGUUACGGCCGUUUCAGCAGUUAUAGCAUGUGGGGAGGCGGCAGGUUCCAGCCUUGGAGGGGCUUGUGCAGGGCCUCUGGAACGUGGGGCAGACUAGGGAGCAGCUAGGAGUCCCUUUUUGGAAGACUUAGAAGCAUGUAUUGUGGGCAUGGACUUAGGGGCUUGUAUAUAGUAUAGUAUUUAUUUACUCUUAGUGUUUAGAGUAGUAUAAAUAGAUAGUCAUUGUAUUUGUAAUACAUCCACCAACAUUUGAAUACAAGUCUUUUCUUCCAAAACAGUCUUUUGUCUUUCCUUCUAUUUCUCUUAGCGAUCCAAAGUAGUGAAAGGCUUACUUGAGUUUGUGAGAUCGUGAAAGAAUUGUGAGCAAACCGUCAAGUGCCGCACGGAGUAUUGUCCGAAUUGAAAAGUCAGUGACAAUUGGUAUCAGAGCAGGUUCAUCGUAAGAGAAUGACGAACGAAGGAUACGGCGCUAGCAGCACCCCCAACGUCCACACUGAUGGUGGCAAGAAGAACAAGAAAGGGAAGAAGUAGCAGACGGGUAAUGAACCCAAUCUGCCCAGUCUUCCACCAAGUGUUCCUCCACCAAGUGUUCCUACCCCAAGCGAAGGGCAAACGUCUCUCCCUCCCCAGAUUGUCGAUGGAAGUGACGAAGACACCGGCGAGGAGUCCGUGGACAUUACUGUCGGAUCGGAGUGGAUUGCAAGGGUCGAAAUGGCGAGGCAAGCCGUAGAGAUCAUAUGCCAGUGCUUGAACAGAACUGACAGAAAUCUCAAAACUCUUGAAGAGUACUCCCUUGAGGAAGUUGAGAGCGUCCGGAAGGAGUUGGAGGCACGCCAGCGAGCCGAGUACGAGACAAAAGAGGCCAUUACUUUCUUAGAGUUCAGGCUUAGGGAAGCACUUGGCGCAAUUGAGUCGCUUAAGGCCGAAGUGCCAGCACUCCAGGAGGAUAGAGAGGUUGGUGGAUCCUCAUCACGUUACCGGGAAAGGGAAGCCAGAGUUGAGGCACCCAAGCCACCUGUCUUCAAAGGCGUCCGUGACGCGCAAGACGUGGAUAAUUUCCUUUGGCACUUGGAAAACUACUUCAAGUGUAUGAGGGUUCGUAGUGAUGUGAACAAGAUCAACACAGCUGUGUUGUAUAUUUCGGAGUCUGCCAUGCUAUGGUGGAAGCAUAAAGAGUCUGACAUCGCAAAGGGGACAUGCGUGUUGAACACAUGGGAGCAGUUUCGUGUGGAGUUCAAGAAGGCGUUAUUCCCUAGCAACGUUGUGUAUGAGGCAAAGCGGAAGAUGCGGGAGUUGAGACAGAAUGGCAGCAUACGCGCGUAUGUGCGGGAGUUUACCACCCUUACAUUUCAGAUUCCCAACCUCAGGGACGAUGACGCAUUGUUCUACUUCAUGGAUGGGCUGCAAAAUUGGGCCAGAAGGGAGUUGGAACGACGGCAAGUCAGGACUAUAGAUAACACCAUCACACAGGCUGAAGCCUUGACAGACAUCAGGCAGGAGAAGUCUUUUAGUGCCGAUGAGGACGAUGAGGUAGGCAGUCAUGAUGAUAGUGGGGAAGACAGUGGCGAAGGAAAAGAGCAAAGGCCACAACCUAAGAGGCGUGACACCUACGGGUCCAGCGGCAAGAAGCCCAGAGAUUGUGGCAACACGGUAAGGGAUUCCAAGGAUGGUUGCUUCAUAUGCAAAGGGCUGCAUGGUUACAAAAGAUGCCCUGAACUGAAAAGUCUUGGUGCUAUCAUUCAUGAGCGGAAGGAAGAGAAAGCCCAAGAGGAAGUCGGGGAGACUAAGCAGUUGGGCGUUGUAAGCCCAUGCGGAGCUGUGAUUGAGCAACCAUCGACGAGGCCAAGUCAAGAUAAGCCAAGGCAAGCAGAGCCGAACCAUGCUGAGAAGAGACUUGCGAAGUCUAAGGCGUGGGCUCAAACAGUCGACGCCCAAAUCAGAACUGUUAACGCUUCACCGACUCCUAUAGUUUGAGUUGCGCACGGGGUGCACAUCAUGGUAGGCGAUUGGCAAGGGAAAACCAAGUUCAUCGUCGCCCCCAUCAAUAUGUUUAAUGUUAUUCUUGGGAAGAAGUUCUUCCAGCAGUGCCAUAAAGUAAUCGAUCCUCAUCUCCAAAAAUUGACAAUCAUGGAGAAAGGAAGGGAAUAUGCAAUUCCCAUGGUGAAGGCGCAGGCAACGGAGGGACAGGCUAGACUGACAGCCAUGAAGCUCGAGAGGGUCGACGUGAAAAGAAAGUUAACACUAGCAGCGACCAUUGCAAGUUCGAGAGAAGACAAUGGUGCUGGAAAGACCUUGCCACCGCGCAGGAAGAGGGUUUCGAGUAGGAACGCUGACGUGAUGAAGAAGCCAUCGGAGAACUUGCCUCCGUUGAAGGAGGAAGUUUGGAAGAUCGGUUCGAGAAAGGUCAGGACAUCGACGAAGAGGCGUCUCGAAGGGAAUGAUUGAGUACGCGAGUUGAUGGUCGCCCGGCAGAACUCAACGCCGAUACGGAUGCAAUGCGACGCGGUCGUCGCAUCAUCAGGUGGGGGAGUUUGUCACGACCCGCCAGAUACCCAGGUAGAUCGCGACCCGUCUAGGCAGCCAGCAGCCUGUGCAAGGGGGACAGACAACCCAAAAUGGCUAGCAGGCAAAGGGGCAGGCGUCCAAGUAGGCAGCAGACAGAGGGUCAGGCAUUUCUGCCAUUACAGGAAGUUUCAGCAGUUACAACAGUUUCAUCAGUUACGGCAGUUUCAGCAGUUACAGCAUGUGGGGAGGCGGCAGGUUCCAGCCUUGGAGGGGCUUGUGCUGGGCCUCUGGAACGUGGGGCAGACUAGGGAGCAGCUAGGAGUCCCUUUUUGGAAGACUUAGAAGCAUGUCUUGUGGGCAUGGACAUAGGGACUUGUAUAUAGUAUAGUAUUUAUUUACUAUUAGUGUUUAGAGUAGUAUAAAUAGGUAGUCAUUGUAUUUGUAAUACAUCCACCAACAUUUGAAUACAAGUCUUUUCUUCCAAAACAGUCUUUUGUCUUUCCUUCUAUUUCUCUUAGCGAUCCAAAGUAGUGAAAGGCUUACUUGAGUUUGUGAGAUCGUGAUAGAAUCGUGAGCAAACCGUCAUGUGCCGCACGGAGUAUUGUCCGAAUUGAAAAGUCCGUGACAACACACUGUCAAACGACGUCAGGAGUGACAUGCCAUCAUCGCCUUUUGAAAGCACACAUGGUCGAACAACGUCAGGCGUGGCAUGCCAUCACCGCCCUUGGACAGCACACACGGUCCAACAAUGUCGGGCGUGGCAUGACAUCACCACCCUUGGUCUGCACACAUGGUCGGACGACGUUGGGCGUGGCAUGACAUCAACGCCCUUCGACAGCAUACACGGUCAAAAAACAUCGGGCGUGGCAUGACAUCACUGCCCUUGGGCAGCACACACGGUCAGACUACGUCGGGCGUGGCAUGCAAUCAUCGUGUUGGGCAGCACACACGGUCGAACGACGUCGGGCAUGGCAUGACAUCAUCGCGUUGAGGCAGCACACACGGUCGAACGAUGUCUAGCGUGGCAUACUAUCAUCGCCUUAAGGCAGCACAAACGGUCAAACGACGUCAAGCGUGGCAUGACAUCACCGCCCUUGGACUGCACGCACGGUCGGCAACGUCGGGCGUGGCAUGACAUCACCGCCCUUGGACAGGACACACGAUCGAUAACGUCGGGCGUGGUAUGGCAUCACCGCCCUUGAAAAAACACACAGUCGGCAACGUCGGGCGUGGCAUGCCAUCACCGCCCUUGGGCAGCACACACCAUCGGCAACAUCGGGCGUGGCAUGACAUUACCGCCCUUGGACAGCACACACGGUCGGCAACGUCCGGCGUGGCAUGACAUCACUGCCCUUGGACAGCACACACAAUCGGCAACAUCGGGUGUGGCAUGCCAUCAUCGACUUUGGGCAGCACACAUGAUCGAACGACGUCGGGCUUGGCAUGCCAUCAUCGCCUUUGGGAAGAAAAAACGGUCAAACGACGUCGGGUGUGGCAUCCCAUCAUCGCCUUUGGACUAGCUCACACAGUCGGAUGACGUCGGGCUUGGCAUACCAUCAUCUUCCUUUGACGGCAAACACGGUUAAACGACUUCGGGCGUGGCAUGCCAUCAUUGCCUUUGGGCAGCUCACACGGUCGAACGACGUCGGGCAUGGUAUGACAUCACCGUCUUUGGAUAGCACACACGGUCGAAUGACAUCGGUCGUGGCAUGUCAUUAUCGCCUUUGUACAGCACAUACGGUCGAACGACGUCGGGCAAGGCAUGCCAUCAGAGCCCUUGGACAGCACACACGAUCGAACGACGUCGGGUGUGGCAUUCCAUCAUGGACCUUCGACAACACACACGAUCAAACGACGUCGGGCGUGGCAUGCCAUCAUAGCCCUUGGACGGCGAAUAGGGUCGAACGACGUUGGGCGUGGCAUGCCAUCAUCGCUUUUAAACUAGCUGACACAGUCGGACGAUGUCGGUCGUGGCAUGCAAUCAUCUCCCAUGGACAGAAAAAAUGGUCGAACGACGUCGGUGGUGGCAUGCUAUCACCUCCUUUGGACAGCACACACAGUCGGACGACGUCGGGCAUGGCAUCCAUCAUCUCCUUUGGGCAGCACAGACGGUCGGACGGCUUCGGGCGUGGCAUGCCAUCAUCGCCCUUGGAUAGCACAAACUGUCAUUCAUCGUCGGGCGUGGUAUGCCAUCAUAGCCCUUGGACAACACACACGGUCGGCAACGUCGUGCGUGGCAUAGCAUCACCGCCCUUGGAAAGAACACAUCCAGCAAUUUCGGGCGUGGCAUGACAUCACCGCCCUUGGACAACACACACGGUCGUUAACGUCGAGCGUGGCAUGACAUCACCGCCCUUGGACAGCACACACGGUCAAACGACGUCGGGAGUGGCUUGACAUCACCGCCCUUGGAAAGAACACACGGUCGAACUAUGUCGGGCGUGGCAUGACAUCACUGCCCUUGGACUGCACGCACGGUCGGAUGACAUCGGGCGUGGCAUGAUAUCACUGCCCUUAGAAUGUACACACGGUCAGACUUCGUCGGGCGUGACAUGAUAUCACCGCCUUUCGACAGCACACACGGUGGAACGACGUCGGGCAUGGCAUGCCAUCAUCGCCUUUGGGCAGCAUACACGACCGAACGACGUCAGGCGUGGCAUGCCAUCAUGGACCUUGGUCAACACACACGGUUGAACGACGUCGACCGUAGCAUGCCAUCAUAGCCCUUGGAUGGCAAACAGGGUCGAACGACGUGAGGCGUAGCAUGCCAUCAUCACUUUUAAAUCAGCUGAUACAGUCAGACGGCGUCAGGCGUGGCAUGCCAUCAUCUCCCUAGGACGGCAAACACAUUCGAACAACGUCGAGGGUUGCAUGCCAUAACCGCCUUUGGACAGCACACACAGUCGGACGACGUCGGGCGUGGCAUGCCGUCAUCUCAUUUGGACAGCACAGACUGUCAGACAGCGUCAGGCGUGGCAUUCCAUCAUCGCCCUUGAACAGCACAAACGGUCGACUGUCGUCGAGCGUGGAAUGCCAUCAUAGCCCUUGGAAAGCACACACGGUCGGCAACGUCGGGCAAGGCAUUAAAUCACCGCCCUUGGACAGUACACACGGUCAAACGACGUCCAGCAUGGCAAAACAUCACCGCCCUUGGACUGCACGCACGAUCGGACGACGUUGGGCGUGGCAUGACAUCACCGCCCUUGGACAGCACACAGCCGGCAACGUCGGGCGUGGCAUGACAUCACCACCCAUGGACAACACACACGGUCGUCAACGUCGGACGUGGCAUGACAUCACCGCCCUUGGACAGAACACACGGUCGGACGACGUCGGGCGUGGCAUGACAUCACCGCCCUUGAACAGCAUACACGGUUGAACGAUGUCGAGCGUGGAAUGACAUCACAUCCCUUAGACUUCAUGCACGAUCGGAUGACAUUGGGCGUGGCGUGACAUCACCGCCCUUGGAUAGCACACAACCGGCAACGUCGGGCGUGGCAUGACAUAACUACCCUUGGACAACACACACGUUCGUCAACUUCGGGCGUGGCAUGACAUCACCGCCCUUGGACAGCACACACGGUCGGAUGAGGUCGGGCAUGGCAUGAGAUCACCGCCCUUGAACAGCACACACGAUCGAACGAUGUCGAGCGUGGAAUGACAUCACCGCCCUUGGACAACACACACAGUCGGACGACGUCGGGCGUGGCAUGCCAUCAUCUCCUUUUGGCAGCACAGACGGUCGGACGGCUUCAGGUGUGGCAUGCCAUCAUCGCCCUUAGACAGCACAAACUAUCGGCCGUCGUCGGGCGUGAACAACACAAACUAUCGGCAGUCGACGAGCAUGACAUUACAUCACCGCCCUUGGACAGCACACACGAUCGAACGACGUCUGCCAUGGCAUGACAUCACCGCCCUUGGACUGCACACACGAUCAGACGAAUUCGGGCGUGGCUUGACAUCAACACCCAUGGAAAGCACACAGCCGAUAACGUCGAGCGUGGCAUGACAUUACCGCUCUUAGACAACACACACGGUCGUUAAUGUCAGGCGUGGCAUGACAUCACCACCCUUGGACAGCACACACAAUCGGACGACUUUGGGCGUGGCUUGACAUUACCGCCCUUGGACAUAACACACGGUCGAACAAUGUCGAGCGUGGCAUGACAUCACCGCCCUAGGACUGCACGUACGGUCAGACGACGUCGGGCGUGGCAUGACAUCACUGCCCUUGGACAGCACAGACGGUCGGACUUCGUCGGGCGUGGCAUGACAUCACUGCCUUUGGACAACACACACGUUCGACCUACGUCGGGCGUGGCACGCCAUCAUCGCCUUUGGGCAGCACACACAAUCGAACGACGUUGGGCGUGGCAUGACAUCACCGCCUUUGGACAGCACACACAGUGGAACGACGUCGAGCGUGACAUGCCAUCACCGCCUUUGUACAGCACACACGGUAGAAUGACGUCAGGCGUGACAUGACAUCACUGACUUUAGACAACACACACGGUGGAACGACGUCAGGCGUGGCAUGCCAUCAUCGCCUUUGGACGGCAAACACGGUCGACAACGUAGAGCGUGGCAUGCCAUCAACGCCUAGGGACAGCACACACGGAAGGACGAAGUUGUGCGUGUCAUGCUAUCAUCGCCUUUCGGCAGCACAGACAGUCAGACGAUGUCGGGCGUGGCAUGCCAUCACCGCCCUUGGACAGCACACAUGUUCGGAUGACGUUGUGCGUGGCAUGCCAUCACCGCCCUUGGACAGCACAUACGGUAGGACUACGUCGGGCGUGGCAUGACAUCACCGCCUUUGGACAACACACGCGGUCGAACGACGUCGGCCGUGGCAUGCCAUCAUCGCCUUUGGGCAGCACAAACGGUUGAACGACGUCGGGCGUGGCAUGCCAUCGUAGCCUAUGGACGACAAACACAGUCGAACGACGUCAAGUGUGACAUGCCAUCACCGCCUUUGGACAGCACACACGGUCGAAUGACAUCAGGUAGGGCAUGCCAUCAUCGCCUUUGGACCGCACAUACGGUCGAAAGAUGUCGGGCGUGGCAUGAAAUCACCGCCUUUGGACAGCACACACGGUCAAACGACGUCGGGCGUGACAUGCCAUCACCGCCUUUGGACAGCACACACGGUUGAAUGACGUCGGGCGUGUAAUGCCAUCAUCUCCUUUGGGCAGCACACACGGUCGAACUACGUCGGGCGUGGCAAGCCAUAAUCGCCUUUGGGCAGCACAAACGCUCGAACGACGUCGAGCGUGGCAUUCGAUCAUCACCUUUGGGCAGCACACACGGUCGAACGACGUCGGGCGUGGCAUGCCAGCAUCGCCUUAAGGCAGCACACAUAAUCGAAAGAAAUCGGGUGUGGCAUGACAUCACCGCCUUUGGCAGCACACAUGGUUGAACGACGUCGGGCUUGACAUGCUAUCACGUCCUUUGGACAGCACACACGGUCGAACAACGCUGGGCAUGUCAUGCCAUCAUCACCUUUGGGCAGCACAAACGGUCAGACAGCGUCGUGCUUGGCAUUCCAUCGUCGACCUUGGAUGACAAACUAGUCGAACGACGUCAGGCGUGGAAUGCCAUCAUCUCCUUUGGGCAGUACGCACGGUCGACAUCGUCGGGCGUGACAUGCCAUCAUGGCCCUUGGACACCACACACAAUCGAACGAAGUCGGUCGUUGCAUGCCAUCAUAGCCCUUGAACGGCAAACAAGGGUGAAUGAUGUCGGGCGUGGCAUGUCAUCAUCACCCUUGGACUAGCUGGCACCAUCGGACUGCGUCAGGCGUGGCAUGCCAUCAUCGCCCUAGGACAAGAAACACGGUAGAACGACGUAGAGCGUGGAAUGCUAUCAACGCCUUAGGACAGCACAAACGAAAGGAUGACGUCGGGCGUGGCAUGUCAUCACUGCCCUUGGACAGCACACACGGUGGGAUGACGUCGGGCGUGGCAUGAGAUCACCGCUCUUGGACUGCACGCAUGGUCGGACUACGUCGGGCGUUGCAUGACAUCACCAACUUUGGACAGCACACACGGUCGAACGAUGCGUGGCAUGGCGUGACAUCACCGCCCUUAAACUGCACACACGGUCAGACGACAUCGGGCGUGGCAUGACAUCACCGCCUUUGGACAGCACACACGGUCGGCAACGUCGGGCGUGGCAUGACAUCUCCGCUCUUGGACAGCACGCAUGGUCGGACGACAUCGGACAUGGCAUGUCAUCACCGCCCUUGGGCAGCACAAACGGUCGGACUACGUCGGGCGUGGCAUGACAUCACCUCCUUUGGACAGCACACACGAUCGAACGACGUCGUGCGUGGCAUGCCAUCAUCGCCUUUGGGCAGCACACACGGUCAAAUAACGUCGGGCGUGGAAUACCAUCAUAGCCCAUAGAUGGCAAACACGGUCGAACGACGUCGGGCGUGGAAUUCCAUCAUCGCCUUUGGGCAGCACACACGGUCGAACGACAUCGGGCAUGGCAUGACAUCACCACCUUUGGACAGCACACACGGUAGAACGACGUCAGGCGUGACAUGACAUCACCGACUUUAGACAACACACGGGAUGGAACGACGUCAGGCGUGGCAUGCCAUCAUCGCCUUUGGAGUAGCUGACACAGUCGGACGGCGUCGGCCGUGGCAUGCCAUCAUCGCCCUUGGACGGGAAACACGGUCGAUAACGUAGAGCGUGGCAUGCCAUCAUCACCCUUGGACUAGCUGACACCAUCGGACUGCGUCGGGCGUGGCAUGCCAUCAUCGCCCUUGGACGAGAAACACGGUAGAACGACGUAGAGCGUGGAAUGUUAUCAACGCCUUGGGACAACACAAACGAAAGGAUGACGUCCUGCGUGGCAUGCCAUCACUGCCCUUGGAAAGUAUGCACAGUGGGACGACGUCGGGCGUGGCAUGAGAUCACCACUCUUGGACUGCACACAUGGUCAGACUACGUCGGGCGUUGCAUGACAUCACAAACUUUGGACAGCACACACGGUCCAAUGACGCAUGGAAUGACAUGACAUCACCGCCCUUAACCUGCACGCACGGUCAGACGACAUCGGGCGUGGCAUGACAUCACCGCCUUUGGACAGCACACACGGUCAGCAACGUCGGGCAUGGCAUGACAUCUCCGCUCUUGGACAGCACGCAUGGUCGGACGACAUCGGACAUGGCAUGUCAUCACCGCCCUUGGGCAGCACACACGGUCGGACUACGUCGGGCGUGGCAUGACAUCACCUCCUUUGGACAGCACACACGGUCGAACGAUGUCGUGCGUGGCAUGCCAUCAUCGCCUUUGGGCAUCACACACGGUCGAAUGACAUCGGGCGUGGCAUACCAUCAUAGCCCAUAGAUGGCAAACACGGUCGAACGACGUCGCGCGUGGAAUUCCAUCAUCGCCUUUGGGCAGCAAACACGGUCGAACGACGUCGGGCAUGGCAUGCCGUCAUGGCCCUUGGACACCACACACGGUCGAACGAAGUCGGGUGUGGCAUGCCAUCAUAGCCCUUGAACGACAAACAAGGUUGAACGACGUCAGGCGUGGCAUGACAUCAUCGCCUUUGGACUAGCUGACACACUCAGACGGCGUUGGGUGUGGCAUGCCAUCAUUGCUCUUGGACGGGAAACAUGGUCGAACGACGUAGAGAGUGGCAUGCCAUCAACACCUUGGGACAGCACACACGAAAGAACGACGUCGGGCGUGGCAUGACAACAUCACCUUUGGGCAGCACACACGGUUGAACUACGUCGAGCGUGGCAUGCCAUCAUCGCCUUUGGGCAGCACAAAACAGUCGAACAACGUCAGGCGUGGCAUGCCAUCAUCACCUUUGGGCAGCACACACGGUCGAAUGACGUUGGGCGUGGCAUGUCAUAAUCGCCUUAAGGCAGCACACACAGUCGAAAGACGUCGGGCGUGGCAUGAUAUCACUGCCUUUGAACAGCACACACGGUCGAACGACAUCGGGCGUGACAUGCCAUCACUGCCAUAGGACAGCACACGAUCGGACGACGUCGGGCAUCGCAUGACAUCACCGCCCUUGGGCAGCACAUACAGUCGAAUGACGUCGAGCGUGGAAUGCUAUCAUCGCCUUUGGACAGCACACACGGUCAAACGACGUCGAGCGUGGCAUUCCAUUAUCGCCUUUAGGCAGCACACACGGUCGAACUACGUCGGGCAUGGCAUGCCAUCAUCGCCUUUGGGAAAGCACAAACAGUUGAACGACGUCGGAAGUUGCAUGCCAACAUCACCUUUGGGAAGCACACACGGUCAAAUGAUGUCGGGCGUAGCAUGCCAGCAUUGCCUUUGUGCAGCACACGGUCGAAAGAUGUCGGGUGUGGCAUGACAUCACCUCCUUUAAACAGCGCACACGGUCGAAUGACGUCGAGCGUGACAUGCAAUCACCGCCAUUAGAAAGCACACACGGUUGAACGACGUCGGGCGUGGCAUGCCAUCAUCACCUUUGGGCAGCACAAACGGUCGAACGACGUCGGGCGUGGCAUGCCAUCUUGCCUUUGGGAAGCACACACGGUCGAAUGACGUCGGGCGUGGCAUGACAUCACCGCCCUUGGAUGGCACAAAUGGUCAAACGACGUCGGGCGUGGCAUGACAUCACCACCCUUGGGCAACACACACGGUUGGACUAUGUCAGGCAUGGCAUGACAUCACUGCCUUUGUACAACACACACGGUCGAACGACGUCGGGCGUGGCAUGCCAUCAUCACCUUUGGGCAGCACACACGAUCGAAUGACGUCUGGUGGGGCAUGCCAUAAUAGCCCAUGGACGGCAAACACGGUCGAACGACAUCAGGCGUGACAUGCCAUCACCGCCUUUGGACAACACACACGGUCGAACGACGUCGGCGUGGCAUGCCAUCUUGCCUUUGGGAAGCACACACGAUCGAAAGACGUCGGGCGUGGUAUGACAUCAUCGCCUUUGGGCAGCACACACGGUCAAACGACGUCGGGCGUGACAUGCCAUCACCGCCUUUAGACAGCACACAAGGAAGGACGACAUCCGGCGUGGCAAGCUAUCAUCUCUUUUGGGCAGCCCAAACAGUUGGACGACAUCCUGCGUGGCAUGCAAGCACCGCCCUUGGACAGCACACAUGGUCGGAUGACGUCGAGCGUGGCAUGCCAUCACUGCCCUUGAACAGCACACAAGGUAGGACGACGUCGGCCGUGGUAUGAGAUCACCGCGCUUGGACUGCAUGCAUGGUCGUACUACGUCGGGCGUGGCAUGACAUCACCACCUUUGGAUAGAACACACGGUAGAACGACGCGUGGCAUGGCAUGACAUCAUCGCCGUUGAACUGCACGCACGGUCAGAAGACAUCAAGCCUGGCAUGAUAUCACCGCCUUUGGACAGCACACAAAGUUUGCAACGUCGUGCGUGGCAUGACAUCGCCGCUAUUGGACAGCACGCAUGGUCGGACGACAUCGGGCAUGGCAUGACAUCACCGCCCUUGGGCAGCACAAACGGUCGAACGACAUCAGGUGUGGCAUGCAAUUAUCACCUUUGGGCAGCACACACGGUCGAAUGACGUCGGCAUGGCAUGCCAUCAUAGCCCAUAGACGGCAAACACGGUCGAACGACAUCGGGCGUGGAAUGCCAUCAUCGCCUUUGAGCAGCACACACGAUCGAACGAUGUUGGGCGUGGCAGGCCGUCAUGGCCCUUGAACGGAAAAAAUUAUUGAACGACGUCAGGCGUGGCAUGCCAUCAUCGCCUUAAGACUAGCUGACAUAGUCGGACGACAUCACGCGUGGCAUGCCAUCAUCGCCCUUGGACGGGAAACACGGUCGAACGACUUUGAGCGUGACAUGCCAUCAAUGCCUUGGGACAGCAAACACGGAAGAACGACAUCGGGCGUGGCAUUCUAUCAUCGCCUUUGGGCAACACAAACGGUCGGACGACGUCAGGCGUGGCAUGCCAUCACCGCCCUUGGAUAUCACACAUGGUCGGAUUACGUCGGGCAUGGCAUGAUAUCACCGCCUUUGGGCAGCACACACGGUCGAACAACGUCGGGCGUGGCAUUACAUCAUAGCCCAUGGACGGCAAACAUGGUCGAACGACGUCGGGCGUGGAAUGCCAUCAUCGCCUUUGGGAAGCACACACGGUUGAACGACGUCGGGCGUGGCAUGCCGUCAUGGCCCUUGGACACCAUCAUAGCCCUUGAACGGAAAACAAGGUUGAACGACGUCGGGUGUGGCAUGCCAUCAUCGCCUUUUGACUAGCUGACACAGUCGGACGACGUCGGGCGUGACAUGCCAACAUCGCCCUUGGACGGGAAACACGGUCGAACGACGUAGAGCAUGGCUUGCAUCAACGCCUAGGGACAACACACACGAAAGGACGACAUCGGGCAUGGAAUGCCAUCAUCGCCUUUGGGCAGCACACACGGUCGAACAACGUCGGGCGAGGCAUGCCGUCAUGGCCCUUAGACACCACACAUUGUCGAACGAAGUCAAGCGUGGCAUGCCAUCAUAGCCCUUGAACGACAAACAAGUUUGAACGAAGUCAGGCAUGGCAUGCAAUCCUCGCCUUUGGACUAGCUCACACAGUCGGACGGCUUCGGGCGUGGCAUGCCAUCAUUGCCCUUGGACGGGAAACGCGGUCGAACAAUGUAGAGCGUGGCAUGCCAUCAACGCCUUGGGAAAGUACAUACGAAAGGACGACGUCGGGCGUGCUAUCGUCGCCUUAGGGCAGCACAGACGGUCGGACAACGUCGGGCGUGGCAUGCCAUCACCGCCCUUGGACAGCACACACGGUCGGAUGAUGUCGGGCGUAGCAUGCCAUCACCAUCCUUGGACAGCACACACGGUAGUACGACGUCGGGCGUGGCAUGACCUCACCGCCCUUGGGCAGCACACACGGUUGGACUACGUCGGGCGUGGCAUGACAUCACCACCUUUGGAUAGCACACACGGUCAAACGACAUCGGCCGUGGCAUGCCAUCAUCGCCUUUGGGUUGCACACACGAUCGAAUGACGUCGGGCUUGGCAUGCCAUCAUAUCCCUUAGACGGCUAACACGGUCGAACGACGUCAGGCGUGACAUGCCAUCACCGGCUUUGGACACCACACACGGUCGAAUGUCGUCGGGCGUGGCAUGCCAUCAACGCCUUUGGGCAGCACACACAGUCGAACGACGUUGGGCGUGGCAUGACAUCACCGCCUUUGGACAGCACACACGGUUAAACGACGUCGGGCGUGACAUGCCAUCACCUUCUUUGGACAGCACACACGCUGGAACGACGUCGGGUGUGGCAUGCCAUCAUCGCCUUUGGGCAGCACAAACGGUCGAACGACGUCGGGCGUGGCAUGACAUCACCCCCUUGGACAACAUACACGGUCGAACAACGUCAGGCGUGGCAUGACAUCACCGCCCUUGGACGGCAUGCACGCUUGAACGACGUCAGGCGUGGCAUGACAUCACCACCCUUGGACAGCACACACAAUCGGCAAUGUCGGGCAUGGCAUGACAUCACUGCCCUUGGACAACACACACGGUUGGACGACAUCGGGCAUGGAAUGACAUCACCGCCCUUGGGCAGCACACACGGUCGGAUUACGUAUGGCAUGGCAUGACAUCAUCGCCUUUGGGCAGCACACAUUGUCGAACGACGUCAGGCGUAGCAUUACAUCAUAGCCCAUGGACGACAAACAUGGUCGAACGAUGUUGGGAGUGGAAUGCCAUCAUCGCCUUUGGGUAGCACACACGGUUGAACGACGUCGGGCGUGGCAUGCCGUCAUGGCCCUUGGACACCACACACGGCCGAACGAAGUCGGGCAUGCCAUGCCAUCAUAGUCCUUGAAUGGAAAAUAAGGUUGAACGACGUCGGGUGUGGCAUUCCAUCAUCACCUUUCGACUAGCUGAGACAGUCGGAUGACGUCGAGCGUGGCAUGCCAACAUCGCCCUUGGACGGGUAACAUGGUCGAAUGACGUAGAGCGUGGCUUGCAUCAACGCCUAGGGACAGCACACAUGGAAGGACGAUGUUGGGCGUGUCAUGCUAUCAUCGCCUUUGGGCAGCACAGACGGUCAGACAACGUCGGGCGUGGCAUGUCAUCACCGCCCUUGGACAACACACAUGGUCGGAUGACGUUGGGCGUGGCAGCCAUCACAGCCCUUGGAUAGCACAUACUGUAGGACUACAUCGGGCGUGGCAUGACAUCACCGCCUUUGGACAGCACACAUGGUCAAAUGACGUCGGGCGUGGCAUGCCAUAAUCGCCUUUGGGCCGCACAUACGGUCGAAAGACAUCGGGCGUGGCAUGACAUCACCGCAUUUGGACAGCACACACGGUUAAAUGACGUCGGGCGUGACAUGCCAUCACCGCCUUUGGACAACACACACGGUCGAACGAUGUCAGGUGUGGCAUGCCAUCAUCACCUUUGGCAGCACACAUGGUCUAACAACGUCGGGCAUGGCAUGCCAUCAUCGCCUUUGGGCAGCACAAUGGUCGACGACGUCAGGCGUGGCAUGCCAUCAUGCCUUUGGGCAGUACACACGGUCGAACGACAUCGGGCGUGGCAUGCCAUCAUAGCCCAUGCACUGCAAACACGGUCAAACGAUGUCAGGCGUGACAUACCAUCACCACCAUUGGACAACACAUACGGUCGAACGACGUUGGGUAGGGCAUGCCAUUAUCGCCUUUGGGCAGCACACACGGUCGAAAGAUGUCGGGCGUGGCAUGACAUCUCACGCCUUUGGACAGCACACUAUCAUGACCCGCCAGAUACCGAGGCAGAUCGCAACCCGUCUAGGCAGCCAGAAGCCUCUGCAAGGGGGACAGACAGCCUAAAACGGCCAGCAGGCAAAGGGGCAGGCGUCCAAGCAGGCAGCAGAAAGAGGGUCAGGCGUUUCAGCCGUUACAGACAGUUUCAGCAGUUACAGCCGUUUCAUCAGUUACGGCCGUUUCAGCAGUUACAGCAUGUGGGGAGGCGGCAGGUUCCAGCCUUGGAGGGGCUUGUGCAGGGCCUCUGGAACGUGGGGCAGACUAGGGAGCAGCUAGGAGUCCCUUUUUGGAAGACUUAGAAGCAUGUCUUGUGGGCAUGGACAUAGGGACUUGUAUAUAGUAUAGUAUUUAUUUACUCUUAGUGUUUAGAGUAGUAUAAAUAGGUAGUCAUUGUAUUUGUAAUACAUCCACCAACAUUUGAAUACAAGUCUUUUCUUCCAAAACAGUCUUUUGUCUUUCCUUCUAUUUCUCUUCGCGAUCCAAAGUAGUGAAAGGCAUACUUGAGUUUGUGAGAUCGUGAUAGAAUCGUGAGCAAACCGUCAAGUGCCGCACGGAGUAUUGUCCGAAUUGAAAAGUCCGUGACAACACACUGAUAAACGACGUCGGGAGUGACAUGCCAUCACCGCCUUUUGACAGCACACACGGUCGAACGACGUCGGGCGUGGCAUGCCAUCACCGCCCUUGGACAGCACACACGGUCCAACGAUGUCGGGCGUGGCAUGACAUCACCGCCCUUGGUCUGCACGCACGGUCGGACGACGUUGGGCGUGGCAUGACAUCAACGCCCUUCAACAGCAUACACAAUCAAAAUACAUCGGGUGUGGCAUGACAUCACUGCCCUUGGGCAGCACACACGGUCAGACUACGUCGGGCGUGGCAUGCAAUCAUCGCGUUGGGCAGCACACAUGGUCGAACGAUGUCGGGCGUGGCAUGCCAUCAUCGCGUUGAGGCAGCACACACAGUCGAACGACGUCUGGCAUGGCAUACCAUCAUCGCCAUAAGGCAGCACAAACGGUCAAACGACGUCAGGCGUGGCAUGACAUCACCGCCCUUGGACUGCACGCACAGUCGGCAACGUCGGGCGUGGCAUGACAUCACCGCCCUUGGACAGCACACACGGUCGAUAACGUCGGGCGUGGUAUGGCAUCACCGCCCUUGGAAAAACACACAGUCAGCAACGUCGGGCGUGGCAUGCCAUCAUCGCCCUUGGGCAGCACACACGAUCGGCAACAUCGGGCGUGGCAUGACAUUACCGCCCUUGGACAGCACACACGGUCGGCAACGUCCGACGUGGCAUGACAUCACUGCCCUUGGACAGCACAUACAAUCGGCAACAUCGGGUGUGGCAUGCCAUAAUCGACUUUGGGCAGCAUACAUGAUCAAACGACGUCGGGCUUGGCAUGCCAUCAUCGCCUUUGGGAAGAAAAAACUGUCGAACGACGUCGGGCGUGGCAUCCCAUCAUCGCCUUUGGACUAGCUCACACAGUCGGAUGAUGUCGGGCUUGGCAUACCAUCAUCUUCCUUUGACGGCAAACAUGGUUAAACGACUUCGGGCGAACGACGUCGGGCAUGGCAUGACAUCACCGUCUUUGGACAGCACACACGGUCGAAUGACAUCGGUCGUGGCAUGCCAUCAUCGCCUUUUGGCAGCACAUACGGUCGAACGACGUCGGGCAAGGCAUGCCAUAAGAGCCCUUGGACAGCACACACAGUCGAACGACGUCGGGUGUGGCAUUCCAUCAUGGACCUUUGACAACACACACGGUCAAACGACGUCGGGCGUGGCAUGCCAUCAUAGCCCUUGGACGGCGAAUAGGGUCGAACGACGUUGGGCGUGGCAUGCCAUCAUCGCUUUUAAACUAGCUGACACAGUCGGACGAUGUCGGUCGUGGCAUGCAAUCAUCUCCCAUGGACGGCAAAAACGGUCGAACGAUGUCGGUGGUGGCAUGCUAUCACCUCCUUUGGACAGCACAUACAGUCGGACAACGUCGGGCGUGGCAUCCAUCAUCUCCUUUGGGCAGUACAGACGGUCGGACGGCUUCAGGCGUGGCAUGCCAUCAUCGCCCUUGGACAGAACAAACUGUCAUUCGUCGUCGGGCGUGGUAUGCCAUCAUAGCCCUUGGACAACACACACACUCGGCAACGUCGUGCGUGGCAUAGCAUCACCGCCCUUGAAAAGAACACAGCCAGCAAUGUCGGGCGUGGCGUGACAUCACCGCCCUUGGACAACACACACGGUCGUUAACGUCGAGCGUGGCAUGACAUCACCGCCCUUGGACAGCACACACGGUCAAACGACGUCGGGAGUGGCUUGACAUCACCGCCCUUGGACAGAACACACGGUCAAACGAUGUCAGGCGUGGCAUGACAUCACCGCCCUUGGACUGCACGCACGGUCGGAUGACAUCGGGCGUGGCAUGAUAUCACUGCCCUUAGAAUGCACACACGGUCAGACUUCGUCGGGCGUGGCAUGACAUCACCACCUUUCGACAACACACACGGUGGAACGACGUCGGGCAUGGCAUGCCAUCAUCGCCUUUGGGCAGCACACACGACCGAACGACGUCGGGCGUGGCAUGCCAUCAUGGACCUUGGUAAACACACACGGUUGAACGAUGUCGGGCGUGGCAUGCCAUCAUAGCCCUUGGAUGGCAAACAGGGUCGAACGACGUGAGGCGUGGCAUGACAUCAUCGCUUUUAAACCAGUUGACACAGUCAGACGGCGUCGGGUGUGGCAUGCCAUCAUCUCCCUAGGACGACAAACACAGUCGAACAACGUCGAGGGUUGCAUGCCAUAACCGCCUUUGGACAGCACACACAGUCAGACGGUGUCGGGCGUGGCAUGCCGUCAUCUCAUUUGGACAGCACAGACUGUCAGACAGCGUCAGGCGUGGCAUUCCAUCAUCGCCCUUGAACAGCACAAACAGUCGACCAUCGUCGGGCGUGGAAUGCCAUCAUAGCCCUUGCACAGCACACACGGUCGGCAACGUCGGGCAAGGCAUUAAAUCACCGCCCUUGGACAGUACACAUGGUCAAACGACGUCCAGCAUGGCAAAACAUCACCGCCCUUGGACUGCACGCACGAUCGGACGACGUUGGGCGUGGCAUGACAUCACCGCCCUUGGACAGCACACAGCCGGCAACGUCGGGCGUGGCAUGACAUCACCACCCAUGGACAACACACACGGUCGUCAACGUCGGACGUGGCAUGACAUCACCGCCCUUGGACAAAACACACGGUCGGACGACGUCGGGCGUGGCAUGACAUCACCGCCCUUGAAUAGCAUACACGGUCGAACGAUGUCGAGCGUGGAAUGACAUCACAGCCCUUAGACUGCAUGCACGAUCGGACGACAAUGGGCGUUGCAUGACAUCACCGCCCUUGGACAGCACACAACCGGCAACGUCGGGCAUGGCAUGACAUCACCGCUCUUGGACAACACACACGGUCGUCUUCGGGCGUGGCAUGACAUCACCGCUCUUGGACAGCACACACGGUCGGACGAGGUCGGGCGUGGCAUGAGAUCACCGCCCUUGAAUAGCCCACACGAUCGAAUGAUGUCGAGCGUGGAAUGACAUCACCGCCCUUGGACAACACACACAGUCGGACGACGUCGGGCGUGAUAUGCCAUCAUCUCCUUUUGGCAGCACAGACGGUCGGACGGCUUCGGGUGUGGCAUGCCAUCAUCGCCCUUAGACAACACAAACUAUCGGCCAUCGUCGGGCGUGAACAGCACAAACUAUCGGCAGUCGUCGGGCGUGACAUUACAUCACCGCCCUUGGACAGCACACACGAUCGAACGACGUCUGCCAUGGCAUGACAUCACCGUCCUUUGAUUGCACACACAAUCAGACGAAUUUGGGCGUGGCUUGACAUCACCUCCCUUGGAAAGCACAAAGCCGACAACGUCGACCGUGGCAUGACAUCACCGCCCUUAGACAACACACACGGUCGUUAACGUUAGGCGUGGCAUGACAUCACCACCCUUGGAUAGCACACACGAUCGGACGACUUUGGGCGUGGCUUGAUAUCACCGCCCUGGACAUAACACACGGUCGAACAAUGUCGAGUGUGGCAUGACAUCACCGCCCUAGGACUGCACGUACGGUCAGACGACGUCGGGCAUGGCAUGACAUCACUGCCCUUGGACAGCACAGACGGUCGAACUUCGUCGGGCAUGGCAUGACAUCACUGCCUUUGGACAACACACACGUUCGACCGACGUCGGGUGUGGCACGCCAUCAUCGCCUUUGGGCAGCACACAAAGUCGAACGACGUUGGGCGUGGCAUGACAUCACCGCCUUUGGACAGGACACACAGUGGAACGACGUCGAGCGUGACAUGCCAUCACCGCUUUUGUACAGCACACACGGUAGAAUGACGUCAGGCGUGACAUGACAUUACCGACUUUAGACAACACACACGGUGGAACAACGUCAGACGUGGCAUGCCAUCAUCGCCUUUGGACGACAAACACGGUCGACAAAAUAGAGCGUGGCAUGCCAUCAACGCCUAGGGACAGCACACACGGAAGGACGACGUUGGGCGUGUCAUGCUAUCAUCGCCUUUCGGCAGCACAGAUAGUCAGACGAUGUCGGGCGUGGCAUGUCAUCACCGCCCUAGAACAGCACACAUGUUCGGAUGACGUUGGGCGUGGCAUGCCAUCACCGCCCUUGGACAGCACACACGGUAGGACUACGUCGGGCGUGGCAUGACAUCACCUCCUUUGGACAACACAUGCGGUCGAACGACGUCGGCCGUGCCAUGCCAUCAUCGCCUUUGGGCAGCACAAACGGUCGAACGACGUCGGGCGUGGCAUGCCAUCGUAGCCUAUGGACGACAAACACGGUCGAACGACGUCAAGUGUGACAUGCCAUCACCGUCUUUGGACAGCACACACAGUCGAAUGACAUUAGGUAGGGCAUGCCAUCAUCGCCUUUGGGCCGCACACACGGUCGAAAGAUGUCGGGCGUGGCAUGAAAUCACCGCCUUUGCACAGCACACACGGUCAAUAGACGUUGGGCGUGACAUGCCAUCACCGCCUUUGGACAGCACACACGGUCGAAUGACGUCGGGCGUGUAAUGCCAUUAUCUCCUUUGGGCAGCACACACGGUCGAACUACGUCGGGCGUGGCAAGCCAUAAUCGCCUUUGGGCAGCACAAAUGCUAGAACGACGUCGGGCGUGGCAUGCCAUCAUCAUCUUUGGGCAGCACACAUGGUCGAACGACGUCGGGCGUGGCAUGCCAGCAUCGCCAUAAGGCAGCACAAACAGUCGAAAGAAAUCGGGUGUGGCAUGACAUCACCGCCUUUGGACAGCACACACGGUCGAACGACGCUGGGCAUGUCAUGCCAUCAUCAGCUUUGGGCAGCACAAACGGUCAGACAGCGUCGUGCGUGGCAUUCCAUCGUCGAGCUUGGACGGCAAACCAGUCGAACGACGUCAGGCGUGGAAUGCCAUCAUCUCCUUUAAGCAGUACGCACGGUCGACAUUGUCGGGCGUGACAUGCCAUCAUGGCCCUUGGACACCACACACAAUCGAACGUAGUCGGUCAUUGCAUGCCAUCAUAGCCCUUGAACGGCAAACAAGGGUGAAUGAUGUCGGGCGUGGCAUGUCAUCAUCACCCUUGGACUAGCUGGCACCAUCGGACUGCAUCAGGCGUGGCAUGCCAUCAUCGCCCUAGGACGGGAAACACGGUAGAAUGACGUAGAGCAUGGAAUGCUAUCAACGCCUUAGGAUAGCACAAACGAAAGGAUGACGUCGGGCAUGGCAUGUCAUCACUGCCCUUGGACAGCACACACGGUGGGACGACGUCGGGCGUGGCAUGAGAUCACCGCUGUUGGACUGCAUGCAUGGUCGGACUACGUCGGGCGUUGCAUGACAUCACAAACUUUGGACAGCACACACGGUCGAACGACGCGUGGCAUGGCAUGACAUCACCGCCCUUAAACUGCACGCACGGUCAGACGACAUCGGGUGUGGCAUGAUAUCACCGCCUUUGGACAGCACACACGGUCGGCAAUGUCGGGCAUGGCAUGACAUCUCCGCUCUUGGACAGUACGCAUGGUCGGACGACAUCGGACAUGGCAUGUCAUCACCGCCCUUGGGCAGCACACACGGUCGGACUACGUCGGGCGUGGCAUGACAUCACCUCCUUUGGACAGCACACACGAUCGAACGACGUCGUGCGUGGCAUGCCAUCAUCGCCUUUGGGCAGCACACACGGUCGAAUGAUGUCGGGCGUGGCAUACCAUCAUAGCCCAUAGAUGGCAAACACGAUCGAACGACGUCGGGCAUGGAAUUUCAUCAUCUCCUUUGGGCAGCACACACGGUCGAACGACAUCGGGCGUGGCAUGACAUCACCGCCUUUAGACAGCACAAACGGUAGAACGACGUCAGGCGUGACACGACAUCACCAACUUUAGACAAUACACACGGUGGAACGACGUCAGGUGUGGCAUGGCAUCAUCGCCUUUGGACUAGCUGACACAGUCGGACGGCGUCGGGCGUGGCAUGCCAUCAUCGCCCUUGGACGGUAAACACAGUCGAUAACGUAGAGCGUGGCAUGCCAUCAUCACCCUUGGACUAGCUGACACCAUCGGACUGCGUCGGGCGUGGCAUGCCAUCAUCGCCCUUGGACGGGAAACACGGUAGAAUGACGUAGAGCGUGGAAUGUUAUCAACGCCUUCGGACAACACAAACGAAAGGAUGACGUCGGGCGUGGCAUGCCAUCACUGCCCUUGGAAAGUAUGCACAGUGGGAGGACGUCGGGCGUGGCAUGAGAUCACCGCUCUUGGACUGCACACAUGGUAAGACUACGUCGGGCGUUGCAUGACAUCACCAACUUUGGACAGCACACACGGUCGAAUGACGUGUGGAAUGGCAUGACAUCACCGCCCUUAACCUGCACGCACGGUCAGAUGACAUCGGGCGUGGCAUGACAUCACCGCCUUUGGACAGCACACACGGUCAGCAACGUCGGGCGUGGCAUGACAUCUCCGCUCUUGGACAGCACGCAUGGUCGGACGACAUCGGACAUGGCAUGUCAUCACCGCCCUUAGGCAGCACACACGGUCGGACUACGCCGGACGUGGCAUGACAUCACCUCCUUUGGACAGCACACACGGUCGAACGACGUCGUGCGUGGCAUGCCAUCAUCGCCUUUGGGCAGCACACACGGUCGAAUGACGUCGGGCAUGGCAUACCAUCAUAGCCCAUAGAUGGCAAACACGGUCGAACGACGUCGGGCGUGGAAUUCCAUCAUCACCUUUGGGCAGCAAACAAGGUCGAACGACGUCGGGCAUGGCAUGCCGUCAUGGCCCUUGGACACCACACACGAUUGAACGAAGUCGGGUGUGGCAUGCCAUCAUAGCCCUUGAACGACAAACAAGGUUGAACGAUGUAAGGCGUGGCAUGACAUCAUCGCCUUUGGACUAGCUGACACACUCAGACGGCGUCGGGUGUGGCAUGCCAUCAUUGCUCUUUGACGGGAAACAUGGUCGAACGACGUAGAGCAUGGCAUGCCAUCAACACCUUGGGACAGCACACACGAAAGAACAACGUCGGGCGUGGCAUGACAUCAUCACCAUUGGGCAGCACACACGGUUGAACUACGUCGAGCGUGGCAUGCCAUCAUCGCCUUUGGGCAGCACAAAAUGGUCGAACGACAUCGAGCGUGGCAUGCCAUCAUCACCUUUGGGCAGCACACACGGUCGAAUGAUGUUGGGCGUGGCAUGUCAUAAUCUCCUUAAGGCAGCACACACAGUCAAAAGACGUCGAGCGUGGCAUGAUAUCACCGUCUUUGAACAGCACACACGGUCGAACGACAUCGGGCGUGACAUGCCAUCACCGCCAUAGGACAGCACACGAUCAGACGACGUCGGGUAUGGCAUGAGAUCACCGCCCUUGGGCAGCACACACGGUCGAAUGACGUCGAGCGUGGCAUGCCAUCAUCGCCUUUGGAUAGCACACACGGUUAAACAACAACCAGCGUGGCAUUCCAUUAUCGCCUUUGGGCAGCACACACGGUCGAAGUACGUCGGGCAUGGCAUGCCAUCAUCACCUUUGGGAAAGCACAAACAGUUGAACGAUGUUAGCAGUGGCAUGCCAACAUCACCUUUGGAAAGCACACACGGUCAAACGAUGUCGGGCUAGCAUGCCAGCAUUGCCUUUGGGCAGCACACGAUCGAAAGACGUCGGGCGUGGCAUGACAUCACCUCCUUUAAACAGCACACACGGUCGAACGACGUCGAGCGCGACAUGCAAUCACCGCUAUUAGAAAGCACACACGGUUGAAUGACGUCGGGCGUGGCAUGCCAUCAUCACCUUUGGGCAGCACAAACGGUCGAACGACGUCGGGCGUGGCAUGCCAUCUUGCCUUUGGGAAGCACACACGGUCGAACGACGUCGGGCGUGGCAUGACAUCACCGCCCUUGGAUGGCGCAAAUGGUCAAACGACGUCGGGUGUGGCAUGACAUCACCACCCUUGGACAGCAAAGACAAUCGGCAACAUAGGGUGUGGCAUGACAUCACCGCCAUAAGACAGCACACGGUCGGACGACGUCGGGCAUGGCAUAACAUCACCGCCCUUGGGCAACACACACGGUUGGACUAUGUCAGGCAUGGCAUGACAUCACUGCCUUUGUACAACACACACGGUCGAACGACGUCUGGCGUGGCAUGCCAUCAUCGCCUUUGGGCAGCACACACAAUCGAAUGACGUCUGGUGGGGAUGCCAUAAUAGCCCAUGGACGGCAAACACGGUCGAACGACGUCAGGCGUGACAUGCCAUCACCGCCUUUGGACAACACACACGGUCGAACGAUGUCGGCGUGGCAUGCCAUCUUGCCUUUGGGAAGCACACACGAUCGAAAGACGUCGGGCGUGGUAUGACAUCACCGCCUCUGGGCAGCACACACGGUCAAACGACGUUGGGCGUGACAUGCCAUCACCGCCUUUAGAUAGCACACAAGGAAGGACGACAUCCGGCGUGGCAAGCUAUCAUCUCUUUUGGGCAGCACAAACAGUCGGACGUCGUCUGGCGUGGCAUGCCAUCACCGCCCUUGGACAGCACACUUGGUCGGAUGACGUCGGGCAUGGCAUGCCAUCACUGCCCUUGAACAGCACACAAGGUAGGACGACGUCAGCCGUGGUAUGAGAUCACCGCGCUUGGACUGCACGCAUGGUCGGACUACGUCGGGCGUGGCAUGACAUCACCAUCUUUGGAUAGAACACACGGUAGAACGACGCGUGGCAUGGCAUGACAUCAUUGCCUUUGAACUGCACGCACGGUCAGACGACAUCAAGCGUGGCAUGACAUCACCGCCUUUGGACAGCACACACAGUCUGCAACGUCGUGCGUGGCAUGACAUCGCCGCUAUUGGACAGCACGCAUGGUCGGACGACAUCGGGCAUGGCAUGACAUCACCGCCCUUGGGCAGCACAAACGGUCGAACGAUGUCAGGCGUGGCAUGGCAUGACAUCACCGCCCUUGAACAGCACGCACGGUCAGACGACAUCGGGCGUGGCAUGACAUCACCGCCUUUGGACAGCACACACGGUCGGCAACGUCGGGCGUGGCAUGACAUCGCCGCUCUUGGACAGCACUCACGGUCGGACGACAUCGAGCAUGGCAUGACAUCAUCGCCUUUGGGAAGCACAGACGGUCGAAUAACGUCGGGCGUGGCAUACCAUCAUAGCCCAUGGAUGGCAAACACGGUCGAACGAUGUCGGGCGUGGAAUGCCAUCAUUGCCUUUGGGCAGCACACACGGUUGAACGACGUCGGGCGUGGCAUGCCAUCAUUGCCUUUGGGCAGCACACACGGUUGAACGACGUCGGGCGUGCAUGCCAUCAUAGCCCUUGAAUGGCAAACAAUGUUGAAUGACGUCAGGCGUGGCAUGCCAUCAUCACCUUUGGACUAGCUGACACAGUCGGACGGCAUCGGGCGUGGCAUGCCAUUAUCGCCCUUUAACGGGAAACACGAUCGAACGACCUAGAGCGUGGCAUGCCAUCAAGGCCUAACGACAGCACACAAGAAAGGAUGAUGUCAGGCGUGGAAUGCCAUCAUCUCCUUUGGGCAGCACAGACGGUCGGACGACGUAGGGCGUGGCAUGCUAUCGCCGUCUUUGGACAGCACACAUGGUUGGAUGACGUCGGGUGUGGCAUGCCAUCACCACCCUUGGAAAGCAUACACGGUAGGACGACAUCGGGCGUGGCAUGACAUCACCGCUCUUGAACAGCACGCAUGGUCGGACGACAUCGGGCAUGGAAUGACAUCACCGCCCUUGGGAAGAACACACGGUCGGACUACGUCGGGCGUGGCAUGACAUGACCUCCUUUGGACAGCACACACGGUCAAACGACAUCGUGCGUGGCAUGAUAUCAUCAUCUUUGGGCAGCACACACGGUCGAAUGACGUCGGGCGUGGCAUACCAUCAUAGCCCAUGGAUGGCAAACCUAGUCGAACGACGUCGGGCGUGGAAUGCCAUCAUCGCCUUUGGGCAGCACACACGAUCGAACGUUGUUGGGCGUGGCAGGCCGUCAUGGCCCUUGAACGGAAAAAAUUGUUGAACGACGUCUGGCGUGGCAUGCCAUCAUCGCCUUAAGACUAGCUGACACAGUCG